CUUGAGUGGGAAUAAAAGGUAGGAAUCAAUUGAAGUUACAAAGCCGAUAAUACCGGGAUUUAAAAAUUGUAAACUGGUACAAAUUAAUAAAAAUUCAGUUGGUUCCCCGCCAAAAAUUCCGCUAAAAGAUCCAUUUCGGAUCUUUUUU
rnacentral:sRNA from 1 species